UGACCCACGCUGCAGAGUCCAGGGCCAGGGCUAGCUGUGAGAGCAGAGGGAGGGCACGGGAGCCCUCCAGGCCGGGAGCAGGGAGGAUCCUGAACCUUCGCCAACAUCCAGACCCUGGACCAGAUGUUGGUGAUACAAUGAUGAGCCAAAGACCAGCAUGCCCCUUGUGGAGCUCACAGCCUUGUGGGAGCAGAGAGUCCAGUGGGAAGGCAGAAGAGUGCCACUGUGAUAAGCUCCAGGAAUGUGUCAGUGGACAAACUGGACCUCUUUAGAGAGAGAAAUGAGGGAGCCAUAUGAGCAUUCCAAACAGGGGAACAACCUGUGGAAAGGUCAUUCAUCGGGAGGGCGCAAAGCACGCAUUAGGAAUUAAAAGAGGCAUGAGGUGUCUGGG